rnacentral:rRNA from 1 species
GACGAACGCUGGCGGCGUGCCUAAUACAUGCAAGUAGAACGCUGAAGAGAGGAGCUUGCUCUUCUUGGAUGAGUUGCGAACGGGUGAGUAACGCGUAGGUAACCUGCCUUGUAGCGAGGGAUAACUAUUGGAAACGAUAGCUAAUACCGCAUAACAAUGGAUGACACAUGUCAUUUAUUUGAAAGGGGCAAUUGCUCCACUACAAGAUGGACCUGCGUUGUAUUAGCUAGUAGGUGAGGUAAUGGCUCACCUAGGCGACGAUACAUAGCCGACCUGAGAGGGUGAUCGGCCACACUGGGACUGAGACACGGCCCAGACUCCUACGGGAGGCAGCAGUAGGGAAUCUUCGGCAAUGGGGGCAACCCUGACCGAGCAACGCCGCGUGAGUGAAGAAGGUUUUCGGAUCGUAAAGCUCUGUUGUAAGUCAAGAACGGGUGUGAGAGUGGAAAGUUCACACUGUGACGGUAGCUUACCAGAAAGGGACGGCUAACUACGUG